GUAGGUGAACCUGCGGAAGGAUCAUUAACACGUGAUACUCACGUAUUAAACCAAACGCGAAUUUGUUAAUUGUCCUAAUGUUAGUUGAAGUGAGUGUGAGUGAAUGGUGUGAACACUUUGUGUUCUCUCUUAUAUUCUACAGUCCUUUGAGACUGAAGCUUCUUCUAGCAUUGGUUGAUGAAUAUUUUAGCUGUUUUCCACCCGCACCUUGGUGGCAGCUAAGAUGAACCUUAUUAACCCCAUCUAUUUU
rnacentral:misc_RNA from 1 species